GACGAAGGUGGCAAGCGUUGUUCGGAAUCACUGGGCGUAAAGCGCACGUAGGCGGAUUGCUAAGUCAGGGGUGAAAUCCUGGAGCUCAACUCCAGAACUGCCUUUGAUACUGGAGAGCUUGAGUCCGGAAGAGGUGAGUGGAACUCCGAGUGUAGAGGUGAAAUUCGUAGAUAUUCGGAAGAACACCAGUGGCGAAGGCGGCUCACUGGUUCGGUACUGACGCUGAGGUGCGAAAGCGUGGGGAGCAAACAGG
rnacentral:rRNA from 1 species